CAUGUCCGGAACUUGCCAGAGAUGGCUUGGUGCCCGAAAGGGAAUCGGAACACAGGUGCUGCAUGGCUGUCGUCAGCUCGUGUCGUGAGAUGUUGGGUUAAGUCCCGCAACGAGCGCAACCCUUAUCAUUAGUUGCUACGCAAGGGGCACUCUAAUGAGACUGCCGGUGACAAACCGGAGGAAGUGGGGAUGACGUCAAGUCCUCAUGGCCCUUAUGGGUAGGGCUUCACACGUCAUACAAUGGUCGGUACAGAGGGUUGCCAAGCCGCGAGGCGGAGCCAAUCCCACAAAGCCGAUCGUAGUCCGGAUUGUUCUCUGCAACUCGAGAGCAUGAAGUCGGAAUCGCUAGUAAUCGCAGGUCAGCAUACUGCGGUGAAUACGUUCCCGGGUCUU
rnacentral:rRNA from 1 species